rnacentral:rRNA from 1 species
GACGAACGCUGGCGGCGUGCUUAACACAUGCUAGUCGAACGGAAAGGCCCUGCUUUUGUGGGGUGCUCGAGUGGCGAACGGGUGAGUAACACGUGAGUAACCUGCCCUUGACUUUGGGAUAACUUCAGGAAACUGGGGCUAAUACCGGAUAGGAGCUCCUGCUGCAUGGUGGGGGUUGGAAAGUUUCGGCGGUUGGGGAUGGACUCGCGGCUUAUCAGCUUGUUGGUGGGGUAGUGGCUUACCAAGGCUUUGACGGGUAGCCGGCCUGAGAGGGUGACCGGCCACAUUGGGACUGAGAUACGGCCCAGACUCCUACAGGAGGCAGCAGUGGGGAAUAUUGCACAAUGGGCGGAAGCCUGAUGCAGCAACGCCGCGUGCGGGAUGACGGCCUUCGGGUUGUAAACCGCUUUCGCCUGUGACGAAGCGUGAGUGACGGUAAUGGGUAAAGAAGCACCGGCUAACUACGUG